UACGUAGGGUGCGAGCGUUAAUCGGAAUUACUGGGCGUAAAGUGUGCGCAGGCGGCCGCGCAAGUCGAGUGUGAAAGCCCCGGGCUUAACUUGGGAAUUGCGCUCGAAACUACGUGGCUGGAGUGUGGCAGAGGAAGGUGGAAUUCCAGGUGUAGCGGUGAAAUGCGUAGAGAUCGGGAGGAACACCAGAGGCGAAGGCGGCGACCUGGACAGUUACUGACACUCAACUACGAAAGCGUGGGGAGCAAACAGG
rnacentral:rRNA from 1 species